rnacentral:rRNA from 1 species
GACGAACGCUGGCGGCGUGCUUAACACAUGCAAGUCGAACGGAAAGGCCCUGCUUUUGUGGGGUGCUCGAGUGGCGAACUGGUGAGUAACACGUGAGUAACCUGCCCUUGACUUUGGGAUAACGUCAGGAAACUGGGGCUAAUACCGGAUAGGAGCUCCUGCUGCAUGGUGGGGGUUGGAAAGUUUCGGCGGUUGGGGAUGGACUCGCGGCUUAUCAGCUUGUUGGUGGGGUAGUGGCUUACCAAGGCUUUGACGGGUAGCCGGCCUGAGAGGGUGACCGGCCACAUUGGGACUGAGAUACGGCCCAGACUCCUACGGGAGGCAGCAGUGGGGAAUAUUGCACAAUGGGCGGAAGCCUGAUGCAGCAACGCCGCGUGCGGGAUGACGGCCUUCGGGUUGUAAACCGCUUUCGCCUGUGACGAAGCGUGAGUGACGGUAAUGGGUAAAGAAGCACCGGCUAACUACGUG